GACGAACGCUGGCGGCGUGCUUAACACAUGCAAGUCGAACGGAAAGGCCCUGCUUUUGUGGGGUGCUCGAGUGGCGAACGGGUGAGUAACACGUGAGUAACCUGCCCUUGACUUUGGGAUAACUUCAGGAAACUGGGGCUAAUACCGGAUAGGAGCUCCUGCUGCAUGGUGGGGGUUGGAAAGUUUCGGCGGUGGGGGAUGGACUCGCGGCUUAUCAGCUUGUUGGUGGGGUAGUGGCUUACCAAGGCUUUGACGGGUAGCCGGCCUGAGAGGGUGACCGGCCACCUUGGGCCUGAGAUACGGCCCAGACUCCUACGGGAGGCAGCAGUGGGGAAUAUUGCACAAUGGGCGGAAGCCUGAUGCAGCAACGCCGCGUGCGGGAUGACGGCCUUCGGGUUGUAAACCGCUUUCGCCUGUGACGAAGCGUGAGUGACGGUAAUGGGUAAAGAAGCACCGGCUAACUACGUG
rnacentral:rRNA from 1 species